ACAUACGUCGGAAAGUGAUCGUAGCUCUAUAGGUACAACGUCACUACGGUCGUUUACUGUUACUUCGUCCACUUUGACGUAAUAUGAUACUUCGUACAACCACAGACAAAGGCCACCACUGCCAAUCGAGUUUGCGCAUUUGGAGCAUCUGGCAGAUCCGAGACUUUCAACCAAAAGUGGCCUUGACUCAGGGUAUGGUGGAACGGAACCUUGGGCGUUUUCAUCAAGUCAACCACGCCAUCGCACCAAAACAGUCUAGCAUCAAUUUCUAGUGAUUUCGAAGACUUAGUUUAGAUACCAGUAUUGAUUGAGCCAGUGGUAAAAAUCGACGGAAUAGUGAAACCAUAGUACUGACUAGACAAAAAGCGUUUAGCGGGGAAGUUCUUUCCACUGCAACCAAUUAUCGCGGGAGACCUUUGCACAAAAAGGCACGUCUAGGAAUUGUGCUGUGCGCUCAACUAAACGAUGACAUGCUGCAGGAAAUUGAAGCAUUCAGCUCGGAACACAUGAGUAUAUUUGAAUCAAUGCUGUGUCGUUUAAGAAUGGCGGCGGAAAACGCAAGCUACAGGUAGCCGCAGUUACUCCAGAUAAUGCUGGCUGCCGGCAUAACGCAGCAGUGCCCAAUGGAUUUUUUUCUGUACCCAAUGUCCCAUGUGGCUAACGCUAAGCAGUGGUGCGUGCACUCUUGGAACUCAAAGCAGUACAUGUUCUAAUCGGGCUGCGCUUAAAAUUGAUAAUAAUUUUAUGAACGAUCUUUGUUACCUGCUAUUGCUGGCCGACAUUAAGGAUACACAUUUUUUCAUCAGCGCACUACUAACGGCGAUAUUAAAGUACUACCUGGGCUGGGUGAGUACCAUUGCCCCUGUGAGUGGUUCCGCUUACGAAGCAGAUACAGAUUGUGCUACAAUACAGCGAUAGAAGGAGAAGCGGUGCAAACUAACUACCAAUCACCCGUACAUCGUACUGUGGGUCCAAUGUAGCUAUAUGUAUGGAACCGUCGGACACCCGGUGAAACUGUCGAGAACAAUGAUCUGCAGAAGCCCCCAAUUGAGCAAUACCAUGGAUAAAAUUCUAAAUGAGCUAUCUUACGUCGUAAGAUGUAGCGAGAUCAAGCGGGUUGUCCUCGCAGAGGCUUUCGACGAGUAUAAAGCUGAGCAGGCAUUCGCUGCGCAAAAGAUUAUAAAUAAUUAUUCGCUCCUUAUGUUAAUUGUUAACUUUAAUCAAAAAUGCUUUUCCUUGACCUGAUGUACAGUGUAAAUUAACAGAUUUUCGUACGUAAUAAAACUGCAAAAUUACGAAAAAUACAAAUUAUA